rnacentral:tRNA from 1 species
UUUAUAUAGUUUAAAAAACAUUACAUUUUCAUUGUAAAAUUAGAAAUUUUUCCUUCUUGUAAAUACU